CCUACGGGAGGCAGCAGUGGGGAAUUUUGGACAAUGGGCGCAAGCCUGAUCCAGCCAUGCCGCGUGAGUGAAGAAGGCCUUCGGGUUGUAAAGCUCUUUCGGCCGGGACGAAAUCGCAUGCGUGAAUAUCGUGUGUGGAUGACGGUACCGGAAUAAGAAGCACCGGCUAACUACGUGCCAGCAGCCGCGGUAAUACGUAGGGUGCGAGCGUUAAUCGGAAUUACUGGGCGUAAAGCGUGCGCAGGCGGUUUCGUAAGCCAGAUGUGAAAUCCCCGGGCUUAACCUGGGAACUGCAUUUGGGACUGCGAGGCUAGAGUACGGCAGAGGGAGGUGGAAUUCCACGUGUGGCAGUGAAAUGCGUAGAUAUGUGGAGGAACACCGAUGGCGAAAGGCAGCCUCCUGGGCUAGUACUGACGCUCAUGCACGAAAGCUGGGGAGCAAAACAGGAUUAGAUACCCUGGUAGUCCCAGCCCUUAAAACGANANACACUAGUGUGGUAGUUAUAUCUAUACGACAGNACGCGUGAGUAGUCGCCGNGGGAGGACGGCGCGAGAAGUAAACUAACAAAGAAGAGUAGACGACGNGAGAGCGACGACGACGACGACGAGGGAGGAGG
rnacentral:rRNA from 1 species